ACAAUAGAGUUGUAUAGAUAUCCUAUCUGAAGAAAGAAGCAGAGUUUUCGUCCAGAAAUAUUUGAUGCCGGAGAGGAUAAUCCCGAGUCCCCGGGACGCUAUCUGUCGGAACAUCUAUCACGGACUACGCACCAGUUGUAAACAGGCAGGAAACAAAUAUCCUUCCGCAGAGAUCCUUAGGAUGCAGCCCAGCAACGUUAGAUCAACUGCUGUUUUCUAUUAAAUCAAUCCGUAAAACGCAGUUUAUUAUGCAAUUAAAGAAAUGGUUCAUUAAUACUUUUGUCAUGCCGGUAAAAAUAAAACUUUUUGGCAUCGGUUUGGAGAUUCUGAAAUGAUGGUACAAUUGUGUGUCAUAGACAUAGGAUGGAUUGAAGCACGCUACAUCCACGGCGAUUCCUAACGCCCGAGGGCUGUUCGGCCGCAUACACCAUACCGGAACACAACUUCCUAUCGGAUUGAAUCUUAAUGACGGAUAAGUGUUGCGUUGCUGAAAUAGUUGUUAUUUUUACGUUUUAGUUUAUGGCCAUUUUCGCCCUUUUAGGCAU